ensembl:lncRNA
CUGAUGGCACGGUGGUCAGGUAAAUAGUAUCCCAGCAUUGACAAGAAAAGCUACCUGCUCCAAUGCUCCCAUCCAGCAACAUUAGGUUACCAUCUAUUUUAUUUCCCCCUGCAAGUAGAGCGCAUAUCAUCUAGUAUCACUCAAGGUUUGGUUUCUGUUGGAGUGAGCACCUGACCUAGUCCACAGGGGUAUCCCCACCCACCCUCAGCUGCCUGCGACCAGCAGAGACGUGCUUCGUCAUUGCAAGACGCGUCACUGGAAUACUCGGAUCAAUAUGCUGUAACUUCUGAAGGCGUCGGGAAACACUUGAAUUAUGAUGGCGGAAUAAUACCAGGAAGAAAACAGGAAGAAACGUCUCACCUCUCAGGCUCAACUGUUCUGGGGAACUACGGUGAGCUUCAUAAUGUACAAUAAUGUGACAGGCUCAACUGUUCUGGGGAACUACGGUGAGCUUCAUAAUGUACAAUAAUGUGACUGGUUCAACUGUUCUGGGGAAC